UCCACAGUGGUGCAUCACAACUUCAGCAGUUCUGCCACAGAGCUUGUGGUGGGCAGUGGUGAGCCUGAGCCAGCUCAGGGAGGGUUGGAGUCUGGCUUGAGGAUUCUUCUGAAGCAGCUGACUAGCUGACUUUUAUUGCAAGACAGAGAACACAAGAUCUCUCCACUGAUCCUGCAAGGAGCAGCCUUCGAUGGUGAGCAAAGAAGCAGUACCGCAGUCCCCUCUCGGGAGCAGCACCUGGCUCUAGAAUGCUGCCAUGAAUGUCUUCAACUCUCUGCAUUGUAUGUAUUGAAGAGAUUGGAUAUGCUGCACUUGUUGAUCAUCCAUGAUGGACACAACAGCCUCUGUUUUUCAGGAGGAGCCCUGGAAGGGGCAGAGAGAAGAACUAGCACAGGCCCAGCCCUGGCAGCAGCACGAUCAUCUAGAAUGCCAGAAACCAGCUCUGCUCCUCCCUGCCACUGGAGCAGGCUUUGAAGGGGUUGAAAGAAGCAAGACCACGGUGCCUCCCUCAGCAGCACUCUCUCUCUCUCUCUGGCAGUCGGCUCCUGGUGUUCUGCAGGGCAGCCUUGGAAGUGAUGGGAAGAAUUCGUGUGGUCCAUGAUGAAGGAAAACCAGGUUCUGGCUGGUCCAGGCCUGUGCACGUCGAUAGUUGGCAAUAAAUGUAAGUGCUGUUAUGAAUGUAAUAACCAUUUUUGGGUUAUGCCUUUUGCACACAGUUAGUAUGCUGCUGUAUCGAGUAAGAUGGUGAACUAGUUCUCUGAAUGGCCACUGAUGCCAAACACAAAUUAUCACUUGUGUUUCUGGGUUGAGGGACACUUCACACCAUCACAGCCCGAUCUGCCAGCUGAUAGGCUAAGUGUCUGGUUGUUUCCGGCUGGUGAACCGCAUGGAGCCUCGGCCUACUUGUCAGUCUUGGGGAACACCACAGAGUGACGAUAGGUGGAAAUCAAAGUGUCCAGGGACAGACUCUCCAGUUGGAUUUGUGUGCCAAUGCUAUGGCACUUGAUCUACCCAGUACAUGCAGAAGUGGAGCCAGAUGGUUUAGUUUCCUAGCACUGGAAGCUUUGAUCCUAAGAUGCCGUUGCACCUCAGGAGCUAUCUGCACCUGAAUUUCCCAAGACAAAUGGAUGUCUGGUACCUGUCGGAUGAGGAGGUGGGCAGCGGUGAAGGGGGUGAUCAGGAUGGCAACCGCACUUGCUACGCCACAGCUCUUGGUGACUCAGCUUCUCUCUGCACCGGCCCUGCCCUCUUUGCCCACGCUGGUGCACUCUUUUCCUUCUGUCAUGGGGCUGCAGCUGGCUAGGGAAUUGGUAGCAAAGGUUUGCCUCUCCCCGCCAGAUUUGUUGGAUGGGUGGCACGUUACCACCACCACCACCACCACCACCACCACAGCAAACCAAUAAAUCCUAACCUGCAACUUCAGCCUGUUCAGUCUAGGCAGCUUGUUCAGCCAGCCCCUUGGACUCCCUCAGCCAGGAGUGAAGCAUAAGGCCACCCUGCUGCCAUCUGCCUUGACCCUCAUGCUGGGUCUCCCCCUCUUUGACUUUGAAGACUCCCUCUGAAGAAUAUGGCUAUAAGCUCAUCUUUUUCCUCAAAGAAAAAUCUGUGUCUUCCAAAGUGAGACACUCUUUCUUAGUGAAAAAACUGCUCCAGCCCCUCUCUUUGGAUCCGGGAGCCCAGCUCUGUAAUUGGAUACCAGCGCAUACCAAGAAAAAACUCAGCCAGUCAGAACAACUGGGGUAGUGGUGAGCACCAGCUCACAGCUUACAUCAGGGGGCACAUCCAUGCAGCUUGGGAGGAACUUCAGUCGGACAAAGAAGCAGGCCAAGAACGGAGUGAGGCGGCGAAGGCAAAGUUCUGUCCCCAGGCUAACCAGCCAUGAGCUCAAACGGUUGCCAUUAUUGUGACCAGCCAGUUCACAGGGGAAACAAAGGAGAGGAAGAGGAGUGCCCAUGAUGUCCAUCAGCCAUGGGGCCUUGGUGCAGUGGCCAGCCGUGAUGAAAACUCCCAGGGCCCCAACAUGUUAACUCAGCUGAGCACUUUUGGAACUGGCUUCUUGUUGGUUGUCUGUGUCUUGUUCUGUAAAGGGAAAUGUUGUUGAUUCUCCAGUAAAUAUUGGCACAGUAUGUUUGACUGAAUGUUACUGACAAUGCAGUGAGAAAGGGCCAUAGUGCCUCACAGUUUCACAACCCGCCUCUGCGUAGGUUGGGCUCUUGUAUGUGAAAAUGUGUUUGUAAUGUGACAGCACUUCUGUAAACCUUUUGGGAAAGGACUUGCUCUGCAAAUUGAACACCAUUAUUCACAAUUAUCUGUGGACAUACCACAUAAUUGGGCUACUAAAUUAGUUAUGGCCUCAGCAACAGCAGGGGCUUCUCAGCAGUGCCUUGGGUGGCCAACUGAGGCACUGGAUGAGGGGCCUCCUUCUUUGUGGGCCUCCCCUGAAGAAAAAGGGAGCUCUGCUUAUGGCUGGACCAGAUACAUUACCCCUAAGAAGGGCAAGCUCUACUUUUCCCCCUCAUGGUAUCAAAUUUAUUGUGGUGGUUCUGCAGCUGUCUUUGCUACUGCUAAUAUGAUUUCCCACUACAGUAUGGACGAUGUUUCUGAUAUUGCAUUUCUGUUUUGGUGCUACAUCCAGGAGGCCCACAGGUGGCAUCAGACUGAGAGAACAGUGUGAACAACACAAUGCUCCACCCCUUGGGUUUCUAGUUGGGAGCUGUAAAGCCACAUGUCUUUGUCUAAGCCUCUAUAUGCUUUGCUUUCUGAGUCUGAGCAGAAAGAAGAUGUGAUGGAAUCCGUGGGAGCAGCAAGAUCAGCUAGACUGCUGGAAAGCUCCUCCCUGCUGGUGGUGAUGGAGCAGGCUCUGAAGGUGUGGAAAGAAGCAGUACCAGGGUCUCAAUCAGUAGGGGCAUCUUCUCUGUGCCCGAUGUUGCAGAGGAGCAGCUGCAGAAGUGGCAGAAACGAUCGGUGCAGCCACAGCCUCAGCCUCAGGUGCAACACGAUUCUCGGACACAAGAAACCUCUGUGACUGGUGGCAGACAUGCUUGACGUUUGGAUCUUGUCACGAACCCAGCUCUGACCGACAUGACUCGCAGGCCAGCAUGGGCGCCCUCAAAAACCCCUUGUCUGUGUUGUAGCUGGCUCUGUAUUGAGGCUUCUCUUCGCCUGCACUGUUGGCAGAAGCACCUUGCAGGAUGUCUUGCUUCUCAUUCCUGUGCUCUGCUCUUGGAUGUCUCCGCUCCUGACACUCAAACUCUGACUUUGCCUGCUUCGAAUGGACUGACACUUUCCUUCAGCCUCGCACCGCUCUUGCCCAGCUGGGACAGCCAGAAGACGGACACUGCUCAGCCUUGGCUCUGCUGCCUUGGUCAGCAUUGUGGUCUUCAUUUCCUAAGUACCUAAUAAUCUGCAUCUCCGGCCACUAACUACAUCAGUGUUGUCUUGGAGUCUCCUGUGAGAGGAGAGACGCUGUGCCCCUGGGGCUUAUAAAGAGGGAGGGCGUGCCCCCAAGAGGCACACUGGAUCUAGUCUUCCACCAAGUGAGACUACCUGUGACUCUAUCCAUCACCUGCCCUGCCUAGCAUCCCCCCCCCCCGUCUGAGGAAGCACCAGCUGCCACUGAGGGAUGGGCCUUGUCUGGGGCUACGCUGAGACUCUGGAAUCCAUUCCCUGCAGAAAUCAGAGCCUCCCCAUCUCAGACUACUUAAGACAUUGGACACAUUUCUUCACCCAAGCUUUUAAAGUAGAUGUGGCUUUAACUUCCUGGUCUUUGACUGUAAUAAAGAUGUGUAUCUGAA